GGGUAGUGGGUGAAAGUGGUGAGUUGCCUCCUAGCCCGGUGACCAAGCUAUACAAAUCAGAAAAAUGACUUACUCCCCUAACAACCAGGCAUUAGGUAUUCUGGAAUAUACCAUUUUUUAAAGUUAACCAAAUAUACUAAAACAACUUUUCCAACUAAUAUAUUUUUAUAAAUUAAUUUUUUUAUAAAAUAUUUUAAUAAAAAAAUUCUUUUCAUG
rnacentral:lncRNA from 1 species